rnacentral:lncRNA from 1 species
GCCGGACCCACCGCCAGCCCCGCUUACUCAUCCUACCAGCCUACUCCCACAGCGGGCUACCAGAACGUGGCCUCCCAGGCCCCACAGAGCCUCCCGGCCAUCUCUCAGCCUCCGCAGUCCAGCACCAUGGGCUACAUGGGGAGCCAGUCAGUCUCCAUGGGCUACCAGCCUUACAACAUGCAGAAUCUCAUGACCACCCUCCCAAGCCAGGAUGCGUCUCUGCCACCCCAGCAGCCCUACAUCGCGGGGCAGCAGCCCAUGUACCAGCAGAUGGCACCCUCUGGCGGUCCCCCCCAGCAGCAGCCCCCCGUGGCCCAGCAACCGCAGGCACAGGGGCCGCCGGCACAGGGCAGCGAGGCCCAGCUCAUUUCAUUCGACUGACCCAGGCCAUGCUCACGUCCGGAGUAACACUACAUACAGUUCACCUGAAACGCCUCGUCUCUAACUGCCGUCGUCCUGCCUCCCUGUCCUCUACUGCCGGUAGUGUCCCUUCUCUGCGAGUGAGGGGGGGCCUUCACCCCAAGCCCACCUCCCUUGUCCUCAGCCUACUGCAGUCCCUGAGUUAGUCUCUGCUUUCUUUCCCCAGGGCUGGGCCAUGGGGAGGGAAGGACUUUCUCCCAGGGGAAGCCCCCAGCCCUGUGGGUCAUGGUCUGUGAGAGGUGGCAGGAAUGGGGACCCUCACCCCCCAAGCAGCCUGUGCCCUCUGGCCGCACUGUGAGCUGGCUGUGGUGUCUGGGUGUGGCCUGGGGCUCCCUCUGCAGGGGCCUCUCUCGGCAGCCACAGCCAAGGGUGGAGGCUUCAGGUCUCCAGCUUCUCUGCUUCUCAGCUGCCAUCUCCAGUGCCCCAGAAUGGUACAGCGAUAAUAAAAUGUAUUUCAGAA